CUAAUUUAUGAUUUUUCUUGACACAAACUGAACUCAAUUUAGAGUAGAUUUAGAGCUGUUGACAGUCAAAUUGUUGAAAUUAUUAUAACCAGUAGGGGUCUCCUAUGAGCCUAAAUAAAUUUACUGAUCGUGGAGUGAAACAGGCUUUAUAAAACAGAGCAUUGCGUUUGUAUUCGUUUAAAGUUUCUAAUUCUACACAUCCUGUUCAGACCUCACACACACUGCUGUUCAUUCAUGUCAUUCCUCCAGCACUGAAGCAUCAACAUGAUAUUUAUAGUGUGCUUCAUUUAUUUAGCAGCACCUCCAUUCUGGGUCUCAGGAGAAUCACUAAGUGAUCAAGUUCAUCAGAAUCCACCUCAUCUGAUAACAAAUGCUGAAAAAACAGUUCAGCUCAGCUGUUCUCACACCAUUAAUGGAUAUAGAAUGAUAUUAUGGUAUCAGCAGCUGAAGGGUGACAGUGCACUAAAUCUUAUUGGAAAUGUGUAUUACAAAGAUCCAACCACUGAAAACCAAUAUAAAAAUCAGUUUACCAUUUCUGCUUUUCUUAGAUUUUAACAAAAUAACCCACUCUUCAAUCAGGUUUUUUUUUUUUUUUUUUUUUGAAGGAGGGACUAAUCUAUUCCAGCAUUAUGUCCAUUCCACUAGAUGUCCUCACAUGCAACUAUAGCUGCUGAAGUUUUAUUACAUCACUUAUAACAAACAAAAAAUGUUUGGUUUGCUGAUUUUGCUCUUGCUUCUUCCAUUAGGUAAACAAAAAUAACUUACUUAAAUUGAUCUUUUCAGAGUCAUUGACACUAACUAUUUUUGAUUAAAAUUCCUUCCUUCUGUUCUCAUCUUCUUUUACAGAUUUGGGAUUAGAGCAAUCACCUCAUUUCUUUGUAACUGAGGAUCUCAAUGUGACCCUAAAGUGUUCGCAGAUUGGAACAUCACAUAACAGCAUGUACUGGUUCAGAAAAACACCCACUGAACGAUUGGAGCAGAUAGUGCAUUUCUACAUUAAAACAGAAAACUGGGAGAAGGAUUUUAAGCAGAGAGCAUCAGCUGUGAGGAACGGGGCAUCUUUAGACCUGACUCUUGCCAAAGUACAGCACUCUGACAGUGGUGUUUAUUACUGUGCAAAGCAAGAGGCACAUCAGUGUAACCCAAUCUAUAACCUCAACAAAAACAUGCAGAUUCACAUCUAACACCUGUUCAUCUGAAGUCACUGAAUGAAAUUCUACAUUACAUAGGGAUGAGUGGUUAAUGUAUUUCUAUACAUUUAUUUUGCAUUAUUAUGCUAGUUUACACACAUAAUUUAAACUUUUCCCACAUGUAAUAAUAAUAAUAAUAAUAAUCAUAAUAAUAAUAAAAUUCUAAGCAUGUUUCAGCCCAUUAACAUACAAGUAGUCUAAUUUAUGAUUUUUCAACACAAAUUGAACUUAAUUUAGAGUCGUUUAGAGUUGAUUUGUUGAAAUUUUCAUUAUAACCAGUAGGGGUCUCCUAUGAGGCUAAAUAAAGUUACUGAUCAUGUGGAGUGAAACAGGCUUUAUAAAACAGAGCAUUGAGUUUGUAUUCGUUUAAAGUGGUUCAUUCUACACAUCCUGUUCAGACCUCACACACACUGCUGUUCAUUCAUGUCAUUCC
ensembl:lncRNA